AGCCAGAUAGCUCAUUUGGUAGAUCAUUUGAUUAGAGGUUCAGGGGACCCGGGUUCGAAUCCCGGUUUGUCCG
rnacentral:tRNA from 1 species